GGGGAAUAUUGCACAAUGGGCGAAAGCCUGAUGCAGCAACGCCGCGUGAGGGAUGACGGCCUUCGGGUUGUAAACCUCUUUUAGUAGGGAAGAAGGCUUCGGUUGACGGUACCUGCAGAAAAAGCACCGGCUAACUACGUGCCAGCAGCCGCGGUAAUACGUAGGGUGCAAGCGUUGUCCGGAAUUAUUGGGCGUAAAGAGCUCGUAGGCGGCUUGUCGCGUCUGCUGUGAAACCCCGGAGCUCAACUCCGGGCCUGCAGUGGGUACGGGCAAGCUAGAGUGCGGUAGGGGAGAUUGGAAUUCCUGGUGUAGCGGUGGAAUGCGCAGAUAUCAGGAGGAACACCGAUGGCGAAGGCAGAUCUCUGGGCCGCUACUGACGCUGAGGAGCGAAAGCAUGGGGAGCGAAC
rnacentral:rRNA from 1 species